rnacentral:misc_RNA from 1 species
AGCAGCCGCGGUAAUUCCAGCUCCAAUAGCGUAUAUUAAAGUUGUUGCAGUUAAAAAGCUCGUAGUUGAACUUCGGGGUUUACUCAUUGGUCAGGCUUAAUUGUCUGUACUGGUGAGAUGAAUCUCUACCUUCUGAGGAACUUUCAUGCCAUUUAUUUGGUGUGGUUGGAAAUCAGGACUGUUACUUUGAAAAAAUUAGAGUGUUUAAAGCAGGCUAACGUCUGAAUACAUUAGCAUGGAAUAAUGAAAUAGGACGGAUUGAUUCUAUUUCGUUGGUUUCUAGGGUCACCGUAAUGAUUAAUAGGGAUAGUUGGGGGCAUUAGUAUUCAAUUGUCAGAGGUGAAAUUCUUGGAUUUAUUGAAGACUAACUACUGCGAAAGCAUUUGCCAAGGAUGUUUUCAUUAAUCAAGAACGAAAGUUAGGGGAUCGAAGACGAUCAGAUACCGUCGUAGUCUUAACCAUAAACUA